GUUAUUGAAGACUACAGCUACAAUACGAGGUGCAAUAGGUUGGGAGGAUCCUGUUGAGUCUCUUUCAAUUCAUGCAUAUAUUACUAAGAGCCAACAUGAAGCUUUGAUGGAAGCAAAGAGACGGAGAAAUUUUGAAGAUACGAGAGAAGGAAAUUCUUCUAAAAGGUAAACUCGAGGAGACAAGGCUCGGGAGGCAGCUUCACAAGAAUUGCCUGUAAAGGAUACCUCAUCAUCAUUGGAAGAAAAAACAAGGGAGACAAAAGAUAAGGGCAAAUCAAUUGCUUAUAAGCUACUUUCUAACAUUGAAGCAGCAACAAAUUUGAA
rnacentral:lncRNA from 1 species